UAAUCAAAAAUCUUGACAGCGCUCCCAUAAAUUUUGACUUUGACACCAAGUUUAUCACAGCGAAAUCUCAGUCGGGCCGAUCGGAAAUAAACAGGCGUCACUAUUGUUGAACUUCACCGUCUGAUAACAAGAAGCGGGACGCUAAACACGAUUGCAAACAUGAAGACAUUGGCGAUUCUGCUGUUAUUCCUCAUCGUGCUUGGGUUCUUUGGCUGUUCCAUCGGGACACCAAAUCCAAACCGUUUGACCGGCAAACAAGCUCAUCCAACACCCGAACAGGAACAGGACGAAACUCCUCCUGAGAAUUAGAUAGCUUAAUAGAGAUUUUUCGAAACCCACAAGGAAGAGUACUCCGGAUAGUAGAUUUUCAUGGAAUUAUGAGCAACGCUGUAUCAUUGGGACUGUCUUGACUGGACGCGAGGUGAAUCUAUGUCGGGUCUGAGCAAACAUCUAUAGAUCGAAAAAAAAAAAUUCUAAAUUACUGGUUUCACUUUUUGCACAAAAAGGAUCCAUUACGCCCAGAGACAUAUUUCAGUUGUUUCAUUCCCGCAAAUUGUAUCUGUAAACCCUAAAAGUAAGCUGUAAAUGCGAUAAUUAAUCGUUGCAUAUGACGAAUCAAAUAGAAUAUUUUGCAUUCGGAAUCUAACAUAUUUAUUUUAUGAUUUUCAUUAUUUUGGGGUUUACCAUGGGGGUAAAAAUAAAUGUUCGUUCGUGUGUUUAUUUAUACAUUUAUUUAUAGGUGCUUUAACAAAGCUGGGCCAUAAGCACCUAGAGAAUGUUUUUGGAAUGAAUGACUGCAAUUAGCUUCUAUAGGCGCAAUGGAUAUCUGUUGGUUGUAAAACAUCGGGUGAAACCAGUAGUCUUAGGAAUUUUUUUUUCUUUUUUUUUUGAACAACGAACACCUUGAUAAUCGAUUCUUUACCACGGAUUUAAAUGGGGAUUUACCACGCAUUCAAAUACCGUUAAUCGAUUAUUCACGCCACGCCACUGUUAGCUCUGUAUUAUUCAAAGGACACUAAUUUUUGGUGUCUAUUAAAACCUCUCAAUUUAAGUAUUUUCAACCUCUGUUUUCAUUUGUUUUACUUAUUCUUUCAUUUGUUUUCUCUUUAGAAUAAUGUGGACCCAAUAAUAUUCCAACAUCCUGCUUUGAACUUAAAUGUAUAAUUCCAUUGACUUCAUGUAAUAUAUUGGAACCUUAUUAAUCAGAAUUCAGAUAAAAUCGAA